rnacentral:tRNA from 10 species
GCGGGAUUAGCUCAGUUGGUAGAGCGCAACCUUGCCAAGGUUGAGGUCGAGAGUUCGAGUCUCUUAUCCCGCUCCA